rnacentral:rRNA from 1 species
GCCGCGUGCAGGAAGACGGCUUCUGGGUUGUAAACUGCUUUUGCCAGGGGAUAAAAAGUCCCUGCGGGGAAAAAUUGAAGGUACCUGGUGAAUAAGCCACGGCUAACUACGUGCCAGCAGCCGCGGUAAUACGUAGGUGGCAAGCGUUGUCCGGAUUUAUUGGGUUUAAAGGGUGCGUAGGUUGUGUUGUAAGUCCAGUGGUGAAAUCCGGCAGCUUAACUGUCGAUGUGCCAUUGAUACUGCAGCACUUGAGUACAGACGAGGUAGGCGGAAUUGACGGUGUAGCGGUGAAAUGCUUAGAUAUCGUCAAGAACACCGAUAGCGAAGGCAGCUUACUAGACUGUAACUGACACUGAUGCACGAAAGUGUGGGGAUCAAACAGGAUUAGAUACCCUGGUAGUCCACACUGUAAACGAUGAUUACUCGAUGUUGGCGAUACACAGCCAGCGUCUUAGCGAAAGCGAUAAGUAAUCCACCUGGGGAGUACGCCCGCAAGGGUGAAACUCAAAGGAAUUGACGGGGGA